rnacentral:rRNA from 1 species
GUUCACACUCGUGGCGAAAAGCUCAGUAACACGUGGCCAAACUACCCUACAGAGAACGAUAACCUCGGGAAACUGAGGCUAAUAGUUCAUACGGGAGUCAUGCUUGAAUGCCGACUCCCCGAAACGCUCCGGCGCUGUAGGAUGUGGCUGCGGCCGAUUAGGUAGACGGUGGGGUAACGGCCCACCGUGCCAAUAAUCGGUACGGGUUGUGAGAGCAAGAACCCGGAGACGGAAUCUGAGACAAGAUUCCGGGCCCUACGGGGCGCAGCAGGCGCGAAACCUUUACACUGCACGCAAGUGCGAUAAGGGGACCCCAAGUGCGAGGGCAUAUAGUCCUCGCUUUUCUCGACUGUAAGGCGGUCGAGGAAUAAGAGCUGGGCAAGACCGGUGCCAGCCGCCGCGGUAAUACCGGCAGCUCAAGUGAUGACCGAUAUUAUUGGGCCUAAAGCGUCCGUAGCCGGCCACGAAGGUUCAUCGGGAAAUCCGCCAGCUCAACUGGCGGGCGUCCGGUGAAAACCACGUGGCUUGGGACCGGAAGGCUCGAGGGGUACGUCUGGGGUAGGAGUGAAAUCCUGUAAUCCUGGACGGACCACCGAUGGCGAAAGCACCUCGAGAAGACGGAUCCGACGGUGAGGGACGAAAGCUAGGGUCUCGAACCGGAUUAGAUACCCGGGUAGUCCUAGCUGUAAACGAUGCUCGCUAGGUGUGGCACAGGCU